rnacentral:tRNA from 1 species
UCCCUGGUGGCCCAGUGGCUAAGAUUCUGCAUUUCCAAUGCAGGAGGCCCAGGUUCAAUCCCUGAUUGGGGAA